AGAGAGAGACAUGCGCGCAUAUCAAUAAGCGGAGGAAAAGAAACUAACAAGGAUUCCCUUAGUAACGGCGAGUGAAGCGGGAAGAGCUCAAAUUUGAAAUCUUAAAGGGUUUCCCUUUACGAAUUGUAGUUUAAAGAAGUGUUUUCUGUUGAGGUUUUGGUAAAAGUUCUUUGGAAUAGGACAUCAUAGAGGGUGAGAAUCCCGUAUUUGACCUUUACUUUCAACUUUGUGAUACACUUUCAAAGAGUCGGAUUGUUUGGGAAUGCAGUCCAAAAUGGGUGGUAAAUUUCAUCUAAAGCUAAAUAUUGGCGAGAGACCGAUAGCGAACAAGUACCGUGAGGGAAAGAUGAAAAGAACUUUGAAAAGAGAGUUAAACAGUACGUGAAAUUGUCAAAAGGGAAGCGUUUGACACCAGUGUUGUUUUUCUGAAAAUCAAUUAAAGAACUGUUUAUGCUAAGUUGUUUAGACUUUAUCAGCUAACUGUUUAGUUUUGAGCUUUUCUUUAAUGCACUUUUCAGUUAACAAGUCAACAUCAAUUUCUUUUGCUGUAGAAAAGCUUGAGGAAGGUGGCUUGAGAUUCGUCUUAAGUGUUUAUAGCCUCUUGCCUAUGCAGUCGGAGAGAUUGAGGUCUGCAGCGUAGAUCCUUCGGGGCUAAAUGCAUUUGUGCUAAGUUAUAGCAUUUUAUAGACAACUUGUUGACUAUGAUUUGUCUUGUAGCUUACUCGCUUAUGUUAUUUUACCUACGCUUAGGAUGUUGAGCGCAUGUCUCUCUCU
rnacentral:rRNA from 1 species